rnacentral:rRNA from 1 species
GACGAACGCUGGCGGCGUGCUUAACACAUGCAAGUCGAACGGAAAGGCCCUGCUUUUGUGGGGUGCUCGAGUGGCGAACGGGUGAGUAACACGUGGGUAACCUGCCCUUGACUUUGGGAUAACUUCAGGAAACUGGGGCUAAUACCGGAUAGGAGCUCCUGCUGCAUGGUGGGGGUUGGAAAGUUUCGGCGGUUGGGGAUGGACUCGCGGCUUAUCAGCUUGUUGGUGGGGUAGUGGCUCACCAAGGCUUUGACGGGUAGCCGGCCUGAGAGGGUGACCGGCCACAUUGGGACUGAGAUACGGCCCAGACUCCUACGGGAGGCAGCAGUGGGGAAUAUUGCACAAUGGGCGGAAGCCUGAUGCAGCAACGCCGCGUGCGGGAUGACGGCCUUCGGGUUGUAAACCGCUUUCGCCUGUGACGAAGCGUGAGUGACGGUAAUGGGUAAAGAAGCACCGGCUAACUACGUG